rnacentral:rRNA from 1 species
UGGGGAAUUUUGCGCAAUGGGGGAAACCCUGACGCAGCAACGCCGCGUGGAGGAUGAAGUCCCUUGGGAUGUAAACUCCUUUCGAUCGGGAAGGGCUUCCGGGUGAAUACCCUGGAAGAGUGACGGUACCGAGAGAAGAAGCCCCGGCUAACUCC